rnacentral:rRNA from 1 species
GAUGAACGCUAGCGGCAGGCCUAACACAUGCAAGUCGAGGGGUAGCAGGAUUAAGCUUGCUUAAUUGCUGACGACCGGCGCACGGGUGCGUAACGCGUAUGCAACCUACCUUAUACUGGGGUAUAGCCCGGAGAAAUUCGGAUUAAUCCCCCAUAGUACUAAUGAAUCGCAUGGUUUAUUAGUUAAAGCAUUGCGGUAUAAGAUGGGCAUGCGUCCUAUUAGCUAGAUGGUGAGGUAACGGCUCACCAUGGCUACGAUAGGUAGGGGGCCUGAGAGGGUGGUCCCCCACACUGGUACUGAGACACGGACCAGACUCCUACGGGAGGCAGCAGUGAGGAAUAUUGGUCAAUGGGCGCAAGCCUGAACCAGCCAUGCCGCGUGCAGGAAGAAUGCCCUAUGGGUUGUAAACUGCUUUUAUUUGGGAAUAAACCUCUUUACGUGUAGAGAGCUGAAGGUACCAAAUGAAUAAGCACCGGCUAACUCCGUGCCAGCAGCCGCCUAA